rnacentral:rRNA from 1 species
UACGGGGGGGGCAAGCGUUGUUCGGAAUUACUGGGCGUAAAGGGCUCGUAGGUGGCCAACUAAGUCAGACGUGAAAUCCCUCAGCUUAACUGGGGAACUGCGUCUGAUACUGGAUGGCUUGAGUUUGGGAGAGGGAUGCGGAAUUCCAGGUGUAGCGGUGAAAUGCGUAGAUAUCUGGAGGAACACCGGUGGCGGGGGCGGCAUCCUGGACCAACACUGACACUGAGGAGCGAAAGCCAGGGGAGCAAACGGG